rnacentral:rRNA from 1 species
ACUCCUACGGGAGGCAGCAGUGGGGAAUAUUGGACAAUGGGGAAACCCUGAUCCAGCGAUGCCGCGUGAGUGAAGAAGGCCUUUGGGUUGUAAAGCUCUUUGUGAUGGAAGAUGAUGACGGUACAUCAAGAAAAGUCCCCGGCUAACUUCGUGCCAGCAGCCGCGGUAAUACGAAGGGACUAGCGUUGUUCGGAAUGACUGGGCGUAAAGGGCGCGUAGGCGGUUUUUAAGUUUGUUGUGAAAGCCUUGGCUUAACCUGAGAUGUGCAAUGAAUACUGGGAGACU